rnacentral:rRNA from 1 species
CAAAGUAAAUUUUGAUAAUGACAUCAUUUGCUUUACGGUCUUGACUAACUCAUGUGCCAGCAGUCGCGGUAAGACAUGGAAGGCCAGCGUUAUUCAUCUUUAUUAGGUUUAAAGGGUACCUAGACGGUGGUAUAAGCUUUUAUCUCUAAAGAUAAUCGUACUAUACUCACUAGAGUUUAAUGUAAGGAAUCCAGAACGGUGAGUGUAGGGAUAAUAUCUGUUGAUACCACUUAGAAACUGGUUUAGGUGAAGACAGGUUCUUAUGUAAAAACUGACGUUGAGGGACGAAGGCUCAAUUAAAGGAACGGGAUUAGUUACCCCAGUACUAAGAGCAGACAAUGAUGAAUGUCAUAUGUAAGAGUAAUUUUAUGUAUAAAUGAAAGUGUAAGCAUUUCACCUCAAGAGUAAUAUGGCAACAUAUAAACUG